UGUUUCUUUUCCAUUUUUAGAUCACCUGAGUCAUUAUGUGAACUAUUGCAAUUGGUCUGCAUCCAUUGCUAUGCAUCAUACAUUAACAAUUAAACAUUUUUAACUUUUUCUUGAUAAUUCAUUCCAAUUCUUUUCAAAUUUGGUAUGAAGUAUCUUUGGGACAAGGGGGAUGUCAAUUGUAAAGAACAAGGUACGGUUUUGGUCAAAUCUGCCCUGUCAAGGAAAUUUACCAAAAUACUAACUUUUUGAGAAGAAAGAGUGUCGCGUACCAUUUUUGAUGACCUUGACCUUUUAUGUAAAGGUCAAUUUAUAGAAUUUUUUAUUCAUUUUUUUGUCCGGAUCAUAACUUUUUAUGCCCCCCUUCAAAGAAGAGGGGCAUAUUGGUUUGCACCUGUCGGUCGGUCGGUAGACCACAUGUUGUCCGCUCAAUAUCUUGAGAAUCAUUCACUUGAUGAUAAUGAUAUUUCGUAUGUGGGUUGGUUAUGAGUAGAAGAGGACCCUAUUGUUUUUCAGGUCAAAAGGUCAUAGGUCAAGGAUCAAUCUACUCUGGACAUAGGAAUAUAAUGUCCGCUCAAUAUCUUGAGAACCCUUUGCUUGACAGACAUCAAACUUGGCACACUGGUACAUCCUAAGGAGUAGAUGACCCCUAUUGAUUUUGAGGUCAUAUGGUCAAAGGUCAAGGGUCAAACUGGACAUAGAAAUAUACUUACCAUUCAAUGUCUAGAGAACCCUUUGCUUGACAGACAUCAAACUUGGUACACCAGUACAUCUUCAGAGGAAGAUGACUCCUAUUGAUUUUGAGGUCACAUGGUCAAAGGUCAAGGGUCAAACUAGACAUAAGAAUAUACUGUCCAUUCAAUAUCUUGUGAACCCUUUGCUUGACAUACAUCAUACUUGGUACACUAGUACAGCUUCAGGAGAAGAUGAGCCCUAUUGAUUUUGAGGUCACAUGUUUAAAGGUCAAGGGUCAAACUUGACAUAGGAAUAUACUGUCCGCUCAAUAUCUUGAGAACCCUUUGCUUGACAGACAUCAAACUUGGUACACUGGUAUGUCUUCAGAAGAAGAUGACCCCUAUUGAUAUUGAGGUCACAUGGUCAAAGGUCAUGGGUCAAACUGGACAUAGUAAUAUAAUGUCUACUCAAUGUCUAGAGAACCCUUUGCUUGACAGACAUCAAACUUAGUACACUGGUAUAUCUUCAAGAGAAGAUGACUUCUAUUGAUUUUGAGGUCACAUGGUCAAGGGUCAAACUAAACAGGAAUAUACUGGCCACUCAAUGUCUAGAGAACUUUGCUUGACAGACAUCAAACUUGGUGCACUGGUACGUCAUCAGGAGAAGAUGACCUCUAUUGAUUUUAAGGUCACAUGGUCAAAGGUCAAGGGUCAAACUGGACAUAGUAAUAUACUGUCCACUCAAUAUCUUGAUAGCCAUUUUGCUUGACAGACAUCAAACUUAGUGCACUGGUACAUCUUCAGGAGAUGAUGACUCCUAUUGAUUUUGAGGUCAAAGGUCAAUAGUUGAAUUGAACAUAAUAAUAUAUUGUCUCCUAUAUUUUAAGAAUUAUUUGCUUGAUUGACACCAAAGUUGGUACACUGGUACAGCAUAAGGAGUAGAUGAUCCUUAUAUAUUUUUAGGUCACAUGGUCAAUCCACUCUUGACAUAGGAAGAUAUUGUCUGCUCAAUAUUUUGAAUUGAUGAUACUACUAUAGUGUUAAAUCUAGGAUCUAGAGAGGGCACACAUAUCAUAUGUUCAAAAGGGCACUUUUCGUCGCGGCAAGACAAUUUCGGGGCAUUUUCAUUCUAUCAUACUAUGAUAGUAAUAGAAUAAUCAUUUAGCCUCUUUAAAAGUUAAUACCUGCUGCCUUGAUUUUAAACUUUUCAAUCAACCUUGUGAAGUAAAGAACAAUUGUUUAUAUUAAGUUCAGUAAACAAAUAUUUUUUAAAAAUUCAUAGAGAAAAAAGGGCAUGGUGCAAUUAAAAAGGGCAUGGCGCCAGCCAAAAAGGGCAUGGUGCAGCGCCAUGCUAGUUUGCUUUAGAUUUAACAUUAUACUAUCAAUUAAAUGAUGUGUGUGUAUAACCCUUUUCAAUUUUGCACCAUGGGGGGCAUAUGUGUUUUACAAACAUCUCUUGUUUUUGUCUUUUGACACAGGCCUUUGAUAUUUGGUAUGUGAGUAUACCAUGAUAAGGCAGUUGUCUUUUGUCAUUUUUUAUUACCUUUGACCUUGUAAGUAAUGGUCAAAUAUUAGAAUUUUUUGGGCAUUGUUGUUGUCCAGACCAUAGUUUUUUUGUCUUUUGACGUAAGCCUUUGAUAUUAGGCAUCCGGGUAUACUAUGAUAAGACAGUGUGUCACAUGCCAUUUUUGAUGAUGUUUGACCUUGAUCUUAUAUGUAUAGGUCAAAUAAUAGAAUUUUUAGCUAGGCCUUUGAUAUUUGAUCUAUAGGUAUUGUUAAUAUGGUCUAUGAGUUGAUAUGACAAGAGAGAUAAUUCUUAACUCUAGAUCUUAGUUAAUGACUCUUCAGUAAAAGGAUGUACUCUGUGUGUAAGGAAGUUAAAGGACACAACGCUGAAACAAUGUUUCUAAACUUUUUCAUUUUUUCAGAAAAAUUAAUUCUUUUCAUGCCUAAAACUACUUUAAAUGUGUUUUAUAUGAAAUAUUUUGCGUAGUUUUCGUGUUUGAAAGCGAUGGAAUUCAAAUCUUACGAUAUGCAUAUUUACUUUCACUAUUUUACGCGCCAUUAUGUGUGACGUCAUAUGCGCCCUUGGGUUUGAAAACAUCUAUUAGCCAUUUCAUAAACAGAUUAGAUUUAAUCGACAAAAAACCAAUUAUCACGUUAACGGCUUAUAAAUAAGAUUGCAUUAAGUUGUUUAGUGCAAUGUAAAGGUGUACUAGUUGUCGGUAGAAAGGAUUUAGACAUUUUUUUUAAAAAAAAUUCGAAGGAAGGUACGAGAAAAAAGACGUGGAUAAUUUUUUGUUGGAGCAAGAACUUUACCUUUAAAAAACCACCCAGUCACCUUUUUAAAAACCGCUUGGACAGAGACCCUGAUAAAUUGUGAGAAAAUGGGUAUAUCGAAGCUAAGCACUACAUAAUUCUGUUCUGGUCUUCAAAUUCAAUACACACUCGGACCAACUGACCUUCACCUUAUAACAACAUACCCGGUAUAACUUUUGCUUCCAGUUUCUACCAACUAGUAGAUUUACAAAAAAUUUAAAGACACAAAAUAAUUGAACUUUUAAUUAUAUAAGUAAUAGAAUAUUGUAUUUCCUAACUUUGAAUUGAAUUUUAAAAUUAUUCCUCAUUGAACUCGUAACAUCUUGAGUGCGUCAGUGUAACACUGUGCUCCCACUUCCUAAUGACGUGCAGAUCACAAUUCAAAAAUAAUAAUAAGAUUGCUUCAUCAAAAUAAAAUAGUGUGAUUACCACUUUAAAUUUGAUUAUUUGUAUUGAUCUAUGUGUGUUUUUUCUUUUUCUUUAUCUUUCUUUCCGAAAUGCACCCAUGGCAGUAGCUUGUUCUAGGGCCAAGUUGUCAACAAUGUAACGUAUUAUAAUUGUCUAAUCCAACAAUAAAUAAUGAUUGCACUGUUUAUUUUAGAAAAACAGUGCCAAUUACAGAUGUAUAAAGGAAUAACAUUACCAAACAGUUUGUAGACAGUGACCCAUAUAAACAUUAUUUACUCGAAAUAUUGUCGAUUUCAUACUCGCUUUUCUCGCUAUAGUUGUGUAUUUUCAUCGCUAUAUGUAUGCACUGGUGGCAAAAACAUAUAAAACUUAGAAAAUUUGUCAACAUCAAUUUAAAUGUUGCCCAUGGUGAAUAAAUUAGGCCCUUAAAGGCUGUGUUUUUAAUAAUAUCUCACAUCACUUUCACAAUCAGUUAAUUGAAGAAGGGCGCAUGUGAUGUCACUGUACCACGUGACUACCUACCUAAUUAGGCCAAUUCAACUUAAUUAAUAGAUUAUCAUCCAGGGUCAGCAAAAAGGAUUUUAUUUUUUUAUUUUUAUUUUCUGAGAAAUAUAUUAAAGACAAACGAGUUUUUAUUUCAAGAGAUCCGCAUCAUUUAAUGGCAGAUGGAUAUCAAUCUAUGCUAUUUUCAUAGACUAAUUCCAGGUUAGGCUUUAAUUUAAGGAUAUAACAGAAAUAUACCUAACUUCUUCAAGAUUCAAGAAUAUGAAUUUCCUGUAAGUAUGGUUGGUAAACCAGUUACAGUUAAAACAGAUGUAGUUGACUCGGACAUCCCUUUAUUGCUCUUUAGAACUGCAGUGAAAAAGGCAGGGGUAAAAUUGGAUUGGGGGAAGGAUACUGCUGUCAUCAUGGGAUAAGAUGUGGCUCUCAAUUUAACCACACCUUACCAUUAUUGUAUACCAAUUGACAAAUCAGAGACUGUACCUGCAUAUUUGGCAAAAGAGUGUAAAAAGAACUACCAGACAUUAUGUCCUGUAGAUUAAAGGUCACAUACAUGCCAACUUUUGAAAAUCCCCAUGGGGGAUUUUGCGCGCAACGACCUUUUUUCAACGCUCAAAAUUCACGAUAUUUUACCAUGAAAAUAAAUAUGUCUUUUCAAAUAAAAUAUCCAUCUAAUCAUUAUACAUGUAUCAUACAUCAAGUGUGUUUGACCAUUAACUUUAACAAAACUAUAUAUAUAAAAAACCUUUGAAAGAUAUACAUAUUAAGUAUUUUUAUUAAAAUCAUCUAUUCAGCAAAAAAUCCUCUCCAACAAGUCACAUACAUAUUAUCAAAUAAUACUUAAAGUUGCAUCCUUUUACACCAUAUACACAUUGGUUGGUCUAUAUAUCAAAAUUUUAAAUUAAUUAAAGCACAUGCAUUUAGGUACGACUACAAAGGCGAUCUUGCUUGUCUGUAAACAAUUUCAUGGGCUUGCAGAGUCUGGUGGAACAAUCUGCAUUGCAACCAGAAAAGGAAUGAUCUGUCCUGCUAUGAAGUUUGCGAACAAAACCUUUGCACCCAUGACAUCUGAAAUAAAUACCAGGAAAAAAACACAUCAAAAUAUACGUUUUUACUUGUAAAAUAAGGCUACUUGCUAAUAUAAAAUUCAGUACAGACUUGUGCAAAUUACGCAUCACAAAGUCUAUUGAAUAUUACACUAUAUAGACUAUGUAAUACAUCGCUAUAGACAGAUAGAUUCGGAUAGCCUAUAUUAUUAUAGUUGGAAAAACAUCUAUUUGACGUACCUUUAAUAUUGCAUAUUUUGGAUGCUGUCAGCGAGAGGCAAAAAUCGGGAAUAUCCGAUUGUUUGGUGCAUGGUGGUGACACUAUUAUCAUUGUCAUUCACGUUUGUGUAAAGGAUAUGUCAAUUUGAAAUCCGUCUUCCCGAUUAAUUACUAUCAAAACAUGCUUCGCACUGUCCAAUAAGCACCCCGACACAGGCAGACCAGGUAAAUUACAUCACCCCGAUACCAUGCGACACAGUUAAACAGCAAUGGCUGACUAUUGUCCCAAUUUCUGAUUUGCCAGUUCAGAAAUGACGCGGGAUUUCAAAUUCCGGGUGGAAAUGGGGGUUUGUUGUCGUAAAAUGGGAGAUAUUUUUAGAAAAUCGGGAUUUUGGGGUAUUUUUGCAAUCCCGAUCGGGAUAUUUAGAUUUGCCUUUUCAACUGCUUUAAAUCAGGAGAAUCCCGCACAAAUCGGGAAAGUUGGCAUGUAUGAGGUCAACUGAAACGAUUUUCAAAGUUCGUUUUUCAAAUAAAUUCAGUAAGAAAAUACCAUUCCUUAAAUGUUUUCGCAUAAGAAUAAUUUUUGUUUCGAUCAUCCAGGUAGAUACGACAUCGUUAAUUUCAACCCGGUAAAUUUUAUUGUAUGAGUUAUCUGCCCUUUAGGCGAACCUGAUAUUUCAAUAUGGCGGCACGAUAUGAAAAUGAUUCGGAAGAUUGUAUUCCUGAAAUAGAUAUAUCGCUUAGUGUUAAUGUGCAGCCCUGCCAGUACGAACCAGUUGUACAGCGAGACGCAUCCCCACUAGUGAAAAACGAUAGUGAUUCAGAAAACAGCGAGGAUCAAUCGGACGAAUGCCCUUCACCUGUUCACCAUCUGAUAUGCUUGCAAUGGUGAUCAUAUAGGCUAGUAAUUUCAUCGCAAUGCCCUCGAGAAGGGAGUCCAAAUGUUGCCGUGCAUAGGAUUGAAGAAGUGGGCGUGUCCUGCAUCACAGAUCACGAGGGUUUUGUUGUGGCAAACUGUCUCAACGGAUAGGUUUUAGGAACAGCUUAUUAUGAGUACAUACAAAAUAAUGGUCCCUUGGAAGAAGGGGAAUUGAUUUACAAAUUUUACAGACAUCAUGCAGAUUGGAGAUCUGGUAAUGGCUUGAGAAAAACAAUUGGAAAGUUCUUCUAUCCUAGUGUUGUGACUAUGAUAAGAAAUCAUUCCAUCACGACAGUACUGUGGAUUUAAAUACCCUUUGAUAUUAAUUUAAAUGUGUUAUAAAUUUUAAUGCAUUUCUCAUAAGUGAUUCAUAAAUAAAUAUAAACAAGUAAA